rnacentral:misc_RNA from 1 species
UUUCCGUAGGUGAACCUGCGGAAGGAUCAUUAUUGUAUAACCGAGGUGCGAGGGCUGUCGCUGACCCGAAAGGUCAUGCACGCCCGAGUGCCCUCACACACAUUCAUCUCACCCCUAUGUGCACCACCGCGUGGGUCCCCCUUUGGCUUGUUCGGAGGGGGGCUUACGUUUUCACACAAACUUUGUAUGCAGUGUAGAAUGUAUUUUUUGUUUUUGCGAUCACGCAAUCAAUACAACUUUCAACAACGGAUCUCUUGGCUCUC